rnacentral:rRNA from 1 species
UACAGAGGGUGCGAGCGUUAAUCGGAAUUACUGGGCGUAAAGCGUGCGUAGACGGUUAUUUAAGUCGGGUGUGAAAGCCCCGGGCUCAACCUGGGAAUUGCAUUCGAGACUGAAUAGCUAGGGUACGGUAGAGGGAAGUGGAAUUUCCGGUGUAGCGGUGAAAUGCGUAGAUAUCGUUUGGAACGCCAACGGUGAAAACAGACAGCUGGGAGUGUGCUGACGCUGAGACACGAAAGCCAGGGGAGCGAACGGG